rnacentral:rRNA from 1 species
AGCGAACGCUGGCGGCAGGCCUAACACAUGCAAGUCGAACGAACCUCUCGGGGUUAGUGGCGGACGGGUGAGUAACACGUGGGAACGUGCCUUUAGGUUCGGAAUAACUCAGGGAAACUUGUGCUAAUACCGAAUGUGCCCUUCGGGGGAAAGAUUUAUCGCCUUUAGAGCGGCCCGCGUCUGAUUAGCUAGUUGGUUGAGGUAAUGGCUCACCAAGGCGACGAUCAGUAGCUGGUCUGAGAGGAAGAUCAGCCACAUUGGGACUGAGACACGGCCCAAACUCCUACGGGAGGCAGCAGUGGGGAAUCUUGCGCAAUGGGCGAAAGCCUGACGCAGCCAUGCCGCGUGAAUGAUGAAGGUCUUAGGAUUGUAAAAUUCUUUCACCGGGGACGAUAAUGACGGUACCCGGAGAAGAAGCCCCGGCUAACUUCGUG